rnacentral:rRNA from 1 species
AUACGGAGGGUGCAAGCGUUACUCGGAAUCACUGGGCGUAAAGCGCGCGCAGGCGGUCUUUUAAGUUGGAUGUGAAAGCCUACGGCUCAACCGUAGAACUGCAUCCAAAACUAUUAGACUAGAGUGUGGGAGAGGAAGAUGGAAUUAGUUGUGUAGGGGUAAAAUCCGUAGAGAUAACUAGGAAUACCAAAAGCGAAGGCAAUCUUCUAGAACACUACUGACGCUGAGGCGCGAAAGCGUGGGGAGCAAACAGGAUUAGAAACCCUUGUAGUCC